AUUUACACCCUCAAGCUCUGCUUGGUGUUGGGCGUCUGUCCCGCUCUCGGAGCGUGGACUCGCCUCAAAGUCAUUGGCGGCGGUCGUGCCGGCUCCUCGCGCAGCACAUUUGCGCUUCUCGGAGUCCCGGUGGAUCAGCGUCCAGCAAGCUACUUUUACGACUUGACCUCGGAUCAGGUAGGGAUACCCGCUGAACUUAA
rnacentral:misc_RNA from 1 species